rnacentral:rRNA from 1 species
UACGUAGGGUGCAAGCGUUAAUCGGAAUUACUGGGCGUAAAGCGUGCGCAGGCGGAUGAUUAAGUUAGGAGUGAAAUCCCCGGGCUCAACCUGGGAACUGCUUUUAAGACUGGUCAUCUAGAGUUUGUCAGAGGGGGGUGGAAUUCCAAGUGUAGCAGUGAAAUGCGUAGAGAUUUGGAGGAACACCGAUGGCGAAGGCAGCCCCCUGGGAUAAAACUGACGCUCAUGCACGAAAGCGUGGGUAGCAAACAGG